CACAAAAUUGCACAGGCUGGGCUUGGACUUGACAUCCUCCUGCCUCAGCAUCCCAGAGUGCUGGGAUUACAGAUGAAGACAGUCUGUUGAGAGAGUAAGAGUCACAGCAGAUGAGCAGAAGCUGAACUAGGAUGGAAAGCCCCAAUUCGUAUUCAAGGACAUGGAAAAUUCAGCCACCUUCCCCUAUAGGAGGGCCCUUUCUGUUCCUUUAUCCUGGUUUCUCUUUGAGUAUGUUUGUUGGUGAGCCCGGACAGGCUGCAGAGGUUCCCAGAGUCGCCCCACACGUUCUAUGAUGGAAGAGUCUGUGGUCCUGAGGUUGGAGAGACCUCAGGGUUAGAAGCUCAGACACCUUUCGAGAAGAGGACUCUUCUGAGAGCAAAAGAGGCUUUUGUGACAAUGGCACAUACACCAAGAGUGUCCCCAGCACAGUGGGACAGUUGUCCUUGCCACUUUAGUUGGACUGCUCAGAUCUCUCCUAAGUACCAAAGACAUGCAACGGAUGAUCACCCAUCAAAUGAGAGGCAGAUGCCAACUUUCGUGCUCAGACCUGGGCAUAGCUCUUCCUCUCCCUCUGGAGCAGAACUCCAGGUGGUGCUCUGGCCCAAGUGGCUGGUUGUUGUGCCACCUCCAUGCCGUAAAAGACGGAUAGUACAUAGGGUCCAUAUUCAGGUGGAUAGUGUGUAGGGUCCAUAUUCAGGUGGAUAGUACGUAGGGUCCAGCAUGGCUACUGUGAGUGCUCUCCCUGUCUCAUGUCCACAGCUCUUGCUCUUCAGGAAUCUCUGAAAUGCCGUGCCGUGGGCCUCUUCAGCGGGCCGGUGACAUUUAAGGAUCUCUUCUUGGAAUAGUGCCUCUGCCUGCACAAAAAUGCACAGAUGGCACACAUGGUGUCGGAAAAUUGAAUACGGAUAGGAAAAAAUUAACGUAUACUCCAACCUCACAUCAUGCACAAUGGUACCUAGGAGAUUUUAAUUAGCCCGGAGUGGAUCGCAGAUUUAAAUCACAACAAUAAGAUCCUGAAACCAUCCGAUGUCCAGAAGAAAACAUAAGGAAAAAAAUCCCUGCAACCCGGGGUCUGGGAAAGAUUUUUUAGAGCACAAAAAGCACAAACCGUGAAGGAAAACAUCGAUAAGUUGAACUUCAUCACACUCCUAAAUGAAAUAAAUCAGACAC